CAACGAACAGGUAGUUGGAGGCCUGCAGGUACACAUGUAUAUAGCAGUACAUAGGCAAUGUUGGGCACAGAACUUCCACAGCAGUCCGGACCCCCCCAGGACCGCCGGUCCCAUGACAACAUGUUAGUGGUGAACGUCUUGGAGUUCUGUAAUGGAACCCUUCUGCAUCUAGUACACGCUUUACUGUGCUCAGUGAAACCUCAGUGCCUGUUGCCACCAAGUCUUACAGUAGUUCUUUUGCAGUCACUCAAGGGUUUUUCACAACCUACCUUCUCGGAUAUCUGGUUGCAGCCAUUGAUAGCCUCCUUUUUCUGCCCUGUCCAAGUAGUGUAAUCACUGUUCCUACAACUUUGAACUUUGCAAACUUCCAACGAUGUUUCUAGGAAACUAUCGCUAUCUUUUUGUACUCUGGUCCUUGUUUGUGACGUGCGAUCAUCUUUACUCUUAUCUUUGUGGACCAUUCUUUUGACUUAGC